rnacentral:rRNA from 1 species
GACGAACCGAGCGAACGUUGUUCGGAAUCACGGGGCGUAAAGGGCGCGUAGGUGGCGGCCCAAGUCCGUGGUGAAAGCUCGCCGCUUAACGGCGAGUCGGCCACGGAGACUGGGUGGCUCGAGCACUGUAGGGGCAGAUGGAAUUCCGGGUGUAGCGGUGGAAUGCGUAGAGAUCCGGAAGAACACCAGUGGCGAAGGCGGUCUGCUGGGCAGUUGCUGACACUGAUGCGCGAAAGCGUGGGGAGCAAACAGG